CCCGUGAACUGUGAGAUCAUGACCUGAGCUGAAGUUGGCUGCUUAAGCGACUGAGCCACCCAGGCGCCCCUCCCCUUUCAGCAUUUUAAGUAUUACCUUGCCACUCCUUUCUUGCCAGCCAAAUUUCUGCUGGAAAAUCAACUGAUAGUCUUAUGGGGGUUUCCCUUGUAUAUGGCUCUGUUUUGCUGCCUGCAAGAUUUUUCUAUCUUUACCUUUUUCUAUUUUAAUUAUAAUACAUUGUGGUGGGGCUCUCGUUGCACACUUUUUCCUGGGUGUCUGCUUCCUUACCCAGAUUAGGAAAGUUUUCAGGUAUUAUUUCUUCAAAUAAGUUUUCUUCCCUUCUACGUUCUUCUGGGACCCCUAUCAUGUGCAUGUUAGUACGUUUGUUGUCCCAGUAGUUUCUUAACCUAUCCCCACUUUUUAAAUUCCUUUUUUGCCCUGUUUGGCUUGGAUUCUUUGUUGUACCCUUCCAGAUCUCUAUCCAUUCUUUUGCAUCCUCUAAUCUGUUGUUAGUUCCUCCUAGUGGAUUUUUCAUUUGUUACAUUCUCCAGCUGACCAGUUCUUAAUAUUUUCUCUUUGCUGAAGUUCUCCACUCUUCUCUCAAGUCUGAUGAGCAUAUUUAUCAUUAUUUUGAACUCUUUUACAGGUAGAUUGCUUAUCUCCAUUUUGUUUUGCCUAUUUCUAUAAAUUGGGCAGAACAGCUUCCUCUCCCAGCCUUGAAGGAAUGAGUGGCCCCGUGUAGGAAUGCCCGCGUAGACCGCACAUGCUUGACAACUUUGGAUGGUAAGCCAGAAAGGGAGCAGGCAUAGGCCAGGGGUAUCCUGUGCACACUAUGCCAGGGUCACCUUUGGGGCGGGGGGUGGGGGGAAUGGCUCAAGCUCAUGGGGGCCUGAGGCUCACUGAGGUGGUCCUAGCAGGCUGGCUAGAGUGCCUGGACGCUGCUCCAGUCUGCACUGUCAAGAUGGAGGGGGAACAUAAACAGUGGCAAUCACCAGUGCUUCCAACCUGAGUCCCAGCAGUUGCCUCACCAUUCGUCUGACACUUUGGGGUUAAAUGGUAAAUGGAGUAAACGGGUCUCCUUCACUCAUAGGCUAGUUGCCCUUUAAACCACUGGUUUUUUUUUUUUUUUUUUUUUUUUUUUUUGCUGUGCCCCAGGGCAUGCGAGUCUGUACACAGCCCCCUCCAUGAAAUCUUUCCCUGUGUAGUCUGUUGUACUGGAGGUGGGGUUCCUGUCAUUACUGUGUUGGGUCUCUCUCCCACCUGUCUCUCUGCGGUCCUGCUGUCCUCCGUGUACAGAAGCUGUUCAAUCAGCCCUCGGUUCUUCAAGAGGAAUCGCUUUAUAUGUAGGUUCUAGUUCCGCGAGCUCCCUACACCGCCAUCCUGGACUACCUCCCCAAAAUUUAAACUUGUAUUUGCCAGAUUCUAUCCCCCAAGAAGAAAACUUUUAAUUUUGGAGAAGUGGUUUCCUCGGGUUGUCGUCUUCACCAAUGAGACACAGACUCGGGAAUUUAAUACAUCAAGACGACAGGCUUCUUGUACAGAAGGGCUUGUGACUGGAGACACAACAGGAACUACAGUUUUCCUGCUCUACCCCAAGCCUGUGCAAGUAGGUAUACAGGAGGACAUCCAGCAGCAGUCUGCUGGAAACUACAGUGACCUCACGUAAAAUGUGUGCAGCAUGAUGACUUAUGUACACACAUGGAAGUAAUCACUACAAUCAAGUUAAUGAGCGUAUCCCAGUUUCCCUCACAGUUUCACGCGGUCAUGUCUGAGUUCUGGUGAACAAGAUGUCGGCAGAUGUUGAUAAACCAUCUAGGAAAGCUGUUUACAAGGAGAGGACUCCAGGAGAAAGUCCUUUCAUCUGUAGCUCCACCCACUCGCUCCUCCUGAGCCUUGAGUACAAGGUGAUGGCUGGACUUGAGAGUCACAGACAACCAAAAGCUAACCUGAAUGCAGAAGUCAAUGCUAAUGACGGCAGGGAGCCUGGCUGGGUCCCUGUGGACACUGUAGAGCCACUGUCAGCUUCAGACUAUCUACUAUGGAUGUGUUUGAUUUGAGAGAAAUAAACCUCCAUCCUCUAGAAGUCACCAUUUUGGGGGGCAUCUCUGUUAAAUGUAGUCGAACCUAAUCCUGUUAUACAACCAUCAUUAAACUCCAUUUUAUCUUCUA